rnacentral:tRNA from 1 species
GCCUGGGUGGUGGAAUUGGUAGACACGCGAGACUUAAAAUCUCGUUUCCUCCGGGAAGUGCGGGUUCAAUUCCCGCCCUAGGCACCA